GAACGCACAUUGCGCCCGCCAGUACUCUGGCGGGCAUGCCUGUCCGAGCGUCAUUUCAACCCUCAGGGCUCUCCGGCACUGGUCGGAGGGCGCUGGUGUUGGGGAUCGGCAGUCCCAGCGGCUGCCGUCCCUGAAAUGUAGUGGCGGUCCCACCGUGACCUCCCCUGUGCAGUACAUCGCUCGCAGAGGGACAGCGGUGCGGCCACGCCGUAAAACGCCCAACUUCUCAAGGUUGACCUCGGAUCAGGUAGGACUACCCGCUGAACUUAAG
rnacentral:misc_RNA from 1 species